AACGAACGCUGGCGGCAUGCCUAACACAUGCAAGUCGAACGAGACCUUCGGGUCUAGUGGCGCACGGGUGCGUAACGCGUGGGAACCUGCCCUUAGGUUCGGAAUAACUCCCCGAAAGGGGUGCUAAUACCGGAUAAUGUCUUCGGACCAAAGAUUUAUCGCCUUCGGAUGGGCCCGCGUUGGAUUAGCUAGUUGGUAGGGUAAAAGCCUACCAAGGCGACGAUCCAUAGCUGGUCUGAGAGGAUGAUCAGCCACACUGGGACUGAGACACGGCCCAGACUCCUACGGGAGGCAGCAGUGGGGAAUAUUGGACAAUGGGCGAAAGCCUGAUCCAGCAAUGCCGCGUGAGUGAUGAAGGCCUUAGGGUUGUAAAGCUCUUAUACCCGGGAUGAUAAUGACAGUACCGGGAGAAUAAGCUCCGGCUAACUCCGUG
rnacentral:rRNA from 1 species